rnacentral:lncRNA from 1 species
GGACUUCAGAGGCACCUGGGCAGAGGGGACCAGAAGCACCAAGCCCUGUGUGCCCUGCACCCAAGGAGCCUUAAUGAAGUGGCAGCGGACUCGAGGAUGAAACGGACCCAUCGUGUUCCAAGCUCUGCAGGAAAACUGAAGUCCACAGAUCAGCUUAACUGAGAAAGUAACGAGCAGCAACCUGAUCCUAAAAUAAAGAAACAGGCUGAGAGAAUUCAAAGAAUACUUAAAUUAUCCACCUUAAAAAAAAGCAACAAAACUGGGCUCAUGCCUAUAAUAUGGGCCGGUAUGAGGGCGCUUCUACCCCCUCUUCCAGGAAAUAAUAUGCUUCUCUGUCUUGAGGGUCCACACUCUAUUUCUCUGAAUGUCUACCUUUUUCUUGCUGUCUAAUAAACGC